rnacentral:lncRNA from 1 species
GUUUAAUCCCCUCAAAAUUCACCUCAGAAAACCCUAAAUCCUAGCAUUUUAUUCCCCUCAAACUAAAAACAGAUCCUUCUCACCCUCAUCCGCCUCAAAUUCGGGACCCGUCUUCGACUCCGACGGAGACCGACAAAAAGGAUUCCGAGGGCGCGCCCAGGUGAGGUUUCUCUUCAUCUUUCCCUUCUUCUGUUUUAUGUCUAUAUUCUUAUAUAUAUACAUGAUUAAUAAAAACGAAAAAAAGAAACAUGCAUUCGAAAAUAGAAUGAAAAAAAGAGAGAAAAAAAUGAAAACCUUCUCUUCCGUUUUGUGUUUUAUUUUUGUAUUGAUUCUCUUCAAUAUAUAUAUUUUUUUACAUUCGUUUUCUUCCCCCCCCUCCUUUUACAUUACAUUUCAUUCGGCUCUUAUAGCCGAUUACAUUGCUAUUUUCUACUGUUUGCUUCUGUUGUGUUUUGCAGGGCUGGGGGUCAGAGAUGAAGCUUGCCAUUUUGGUGCAAGGUGGCCAGUCCUCGGGCGGUGGCUGUGCUGACACCGCACAUGGGGCAGCGGCGCAAAGGGGGCACUAGGGUUUCUUUUUUCGCUGAAAUAUGUUUAGGUUUUGGGCCGUUUGGGCCAUUAGUUUUUUUUAAUUUUGGGCUUUGUAAUGGACUGUUUGUAAUUUGGGUUUAAAUAGUUGUAAAUGGACUGGACAAUUAUCAUUUAUUUUUUGUUUGGUUUUUUGGUCUGGGCCCGGGCAAAUUUGAGCUAUUUCAAUAGUCAUAGACAAGAUAGUAUAUGUAAAACACAUUUAGAGUUCACACAUAUAAUAUAGCCCCAUCUUCAUCCUUGGCCUCCAAAUUAUCCCCCACUUUCUAAAAGUAACUGCAAUGGAUUAACUCAUCAAUCAUAGAAUUUUUGGGCUACAACAAAAAAAGAAAACAUCAGAAUAAGCAGAGAAAAACAACAAUAUCAGAAUCAGAAAACUGACCUGGAGACAAGGCAGAUAAGCAUAAAGGCAGGCAAGAUGAAGAGUUGUGUCACUAUCUUCUACAGGUUUAUCGAUGUUACCAUUCAAGUUAUCUGUAUGGUAAGGUGAAAUUUAAAUUGCAUCAGUGGGAAACAUAAUAGACAAGGGCAUUUUAAUUGCAAGUGAGUCCAACAAUAACAAUGAGAGAAACAGUAUAACAAGUGUUGCAUUCUUUGAACUUGUUGACCAACUAAGAAAGAACAUAAAUCCUUUCAACCGAGACCCACUAAUAAGGUUACAUUGCCGUCAUUGACUGGAACAUUGAUGAAAAAGAAUCAAAACUCAAACUAAAAUUCACCAUAAGAUCUAAGGAAGACAUUUAAUUAAGCAUAUAACAUGCUGAGAAACAGCUCCAUCAAAUAAACUCCAUUUUGAUUCAUAAGAAAUAACUAUUAUCAUUAACCCAAAGCCCCUACAUGCUUAAGAUGUCAAUAAGAAAGACUAUUAACUAAUUGGAUUAUCCUAAAAACACUUUAUUGUUAGAUUAAAACAACCCCCUCCCUAGAAAGUAUUCUUUUUAAUAAGAUUAUUUUCUUUAUAAUAGUAAAAACAAAGAUUCAUGUCAAAAUAUAAAGCAGAGAGAACAUCAAAGAAUAUUAUCACAAGAGAGUGUAUAUAAAUAACUUGUUUCACUAAUUUCCGGAAAGCAAAAAAGUAACAAGUAUAAGAUAACAGGGAUUUUUCUCUGCCCCACACUGGCCAUUUCCAUGGAAGCUAAUGGAGACAUAUUUGGGCAGCAAACCACAGAAAAGAGAUUCCUAAAAAGUUUCCUAAGUAUAUUGACAUUGCCACUACUAGUGCCUGCUCGAGGGGCCAACUUGGUGGGACAGAGAAGAUUCACUGAUUCAGGCCUUUUUUGCUUUAUUCAAGCAGGCAUAAUAUAACUGGAUGACUGACCUUAGCAUGCCUGUCGCAUCUGCACAAAACUCAUCUCCACUUCAAAUUCAACACUUUGUAUAUGCUCCUCUCCUUAAUUGAGUGGCCACUGGCUUGGCCGUGCUUUUUGCCUUCAACAACCAACAAAUACAUUAAAUCAAUCUUAUUUGUACAGCAAUGCAUAUGAAAGAGUUCAGAAAUAUUGGGAUUGGUCUAUUGUUUUCUUUAAUGUCAGUGAGACCACCAUACAAAUACCAUUGCCAAUGGUAAACGAAUUGAUGCCUUAUUUCUCUUGGAUUUGAAUGCCCUGAAGUCAAGUGGGUUACAUGGCGUGGCUUCUCAAUACCCACCAAAUAUGGCCAUUAGCCCCAUUUAAAAAGAGAGCCGCUAUUUGCAUCAUUGCAUGGAAAGUGGAACAAGACAAAAAGGAGUAACUAGGUAUAUUUAUAUAGUUUCUAGUCCCUUUUUGUUCUUAUUCAUGGAGCCCUUAUAUCCUUAUUUACGACAACAACACACGUACGUUCACGUGUUACAAUUGUAAGAAUAUGGAUUGAUAAGACAGAGAUAAGGGCACUUUUUGCAGUGAAAAACCUGUCAUCCAAUCUCAAACUAUUGUAAGGCAAAUUAUGCAAUCAUGAUUGGGUCUCUCAACAUUAUACUUUUCAUAACACUGCAGACAACACAACAUGAUCGGGAUCUUUAUUAAAAGUUUAGCUAAUAAAUUAAGCAUUAUUUAAUGAAUAAGCUAAGUUAAGUAGCCAAUUUGUUUCCCUUCCUCCACAUGGGUCACCAUAUUAGCUAUGGUUUUAAAGUUAAGUGUGAGAGUAUGCAUAGGUAGAUCCCUAAAAGGAGGGCAGUUAGGAAUCUAGCUAGCUUGAUUUCCAUCCGUUUAAUUUUAUUUUAUUUUAUUUUUUUGUGUGUGUGUCAUAUUAAUGAAAAAGAUAAGAUACCUAUGGAGCUUUAGCUUUCUUGCAAUCCAAACAAGAGAACCUAAUCCACCACUUUUGGUUGUGGAAUUGGUGGUGGUAAACUCAGGGCCAAAAAAAGAAAAGAAAAUGUAAUUUAUCUUUUUACGGAUCGAAUGCUAGUAUGAAAAAGAACACAAAAAGUUUAUAUACUUAACCAAAUUAAGAAUUUUUUUCCAACUUUGAUUAACAUGGAACAAAACGUUAUAUUUAAAAUAAUUCAAAGAAUUAAUGAACAAUUAUGAAUGGUAUUUCAUGAGAAAACAAUCCAUGUUAAUAAUACAACAUUGAUUGAGUUUGCAUUUCUAGUAAUGGCAAUCAACCAAAGAAGAAGCCGAAAAGAGCACUAGUUUGUCCUGCUUGGAAGCAAAUGAAAAUUUAGUUUCCCUUUGAUGAUCAUCUUCUGGUGCUGGAAGGUUAAGGUCCAAUUGCAGAACAGUUCUUGGCUUCUUGGGCUUAUCAUCUGAUUCAGGCCUCACAAUUGUUGUUGCAGCAGCAGCAUUAGGAAUGGUCCUAUGCCUCCGCAUAUGACCCCCAAGAGCUUGUCCGGACGAGAACUCAGCGCCACACAUGGAACACUCGUGAACUUUGGGUUUACUGAUAUGGCAUAAAGCAGGCUUAUUCGUAAUCUGGAGUGAAAGCGUUGUGUUCAUGUCACUGAAUGGCUGUUGAACGUCCUCUUUCAUAAACAUCAACCCUUUAUUAUUCUCUUCAAUGUUAGCAACCUUGGGUUUCUUGUGGCUGGCUCUAUGUCCACCAAGCGCCUGGAAUGAAGGGAAACACCGAUUACACGUCUUGCACUGGUGAACAUAUGUCCCGGUCAUCGUCUUGCUUGUUGUCGCUAUAGAAACUGGUUCGGGUGCCAACUUUCCUGUUUGACCUCGAGCCAAAAGUAUCAGACAAUUAGCCAUGUCUUCGUCUUCCUUGGUGCUUUCUGCUAACUCAACAGAUGUUGUUGGAGAACCAAACCCCCUCCAAUCAUCGCUGUUUCUUCCACUUUCUGCUCCACUAGAAGUCGUCGCCGUUGUCGUUGGGCUUGAACCCAUCGCCAAACUCAGAGGAGACAGCUGCCUUGGGCGUUUGCUACGUUUCCCUUUGAUAAUCUGCAACUGAUCUUUACAAGCAGCAACUUCCUCCUGACUGUCCAUCAUCAUCAUCAUCAUCAUCAUCAACAAGCUCGGAGAGAAUGAAUAUAGAGUGAUGAAAUCAAGGGAAUAAAAAAAACAGGGUUUUAUGCAGAAAGUAGAAAAGUUAGUAUGAGUGAAAGGGGAUGGUACGUAUGAGGUAACAAGAUCAGAGAUUGAAAACUCCUGUAAAUAAGAGUUGCCCAGGAAUUUGGUGUGCCACUAUAUUGUUUUCCUAACUUUGAAAGCUACAAAUCAUAUAUAGGCCACAACAUAAAUAGAUUUAACAAAUACUGUAUUUUUAUAUAGGAAAGAGAAAGAUGCAAUGGGAGUAUGAGAAGGCGAGGAAACGACUGAGAUUCGGUUGGCUUUGAAGCAAACCCAUUACUUUUUCCCAACGAUUCCUACUUGGAGAAUUAGUUUACAAGGCUGGAACCACAUAUUUUGCGCCUCUCCACUUUUAUUUUGCCUUUUUCUUGCUUGGAUCAUGGUUAAUAUCUGUUAAGUCUUUUAAUCACCUGUUUAUACUUUUAGUAAUCUGGUUUUUUUUUCUUUAACUGAAUACAAACUUUAAUUAGAGGUUGCUAAACUCUGCCCCAAAGUUGGCAUUUUUUGUUUGUCACUUGUUAGGAAUAAUAAAGCUCACCUUUUAACUAAAUUUAACUAAUUGUCAAUCAAUUAAUUAGGUAAUAAUUCUAGUUUGAGAGGCAACUAAACACAAGCAUGCUAAUCGCCUAUCAUCCACUUAACUGCCUUUUACAUCCCUCUUGAAAUUAGUCAUUAGGUAACUAAUAGGUCAACACUUCUACUAACAUUAGUAAGUAACUCUCUACAAAUAAGCAUCUCCUUAUAUUUACUGUUUUCUAAAUUCGGGCUUUUUACAAGUAAGAGGAUUUUUUUCUUAAUUUAAAAUAUGCUUUUAUUUGAAAUUUAUUUUUCUUAUUUUUAUUUCAAGAAAUUUAGUCUCCCUAUUUUUUGAAUUUAAAAAUACAAGUUCAGUUGUUAUCGCGGUCAAUUUUUUUUAUUAAAUUUAAAUUCAUUAAAAACCAUUUUUUUGUAUAUAUUUCAAAAUGCCAAGCUAUAAACUUUAAUGGAAAAAUUUCAACGAUGUUAAUAAGCGAAAGUAGGGAGAUUGAAUUCAUAAUGUACGAAGAGUAUAAGGACAAGGACAUGGAGCAUAUUUUAAUGUAAGAAAAAGGUAAGACUUAUGACUAAUAAGAAAUUUGUUAAUUGCACAAAUCAAGUAGUUUCAUGUGGUGUUGUGAAAUAUAAGUUGAUGAAAUUGUAAUCUAUUUUAUACCCAGAGUUGGCAAAAGGCUUUGCCAUCUCUCACAUGCAGCAGCAGAAUUACAUUACAUUCUAUAAAUCCGAUUAGUAUAGCUUUGGAGUUGAGUGCAGACCAUGAGUUUUAUUUUAUAAUACAAUAAUAUAGUGUGAAUUGGCAUGUCUCAUUUGUCUAAAAUGGGCCAGUUGACUUUAGCAACAUGAAUAAACAAAAUUAUUAUUAUCAUCUAGAAAGCCAUCAUGCAUUAUGCAUCCAUUCAUUUCUUAAUACUAAACCUAGUGUUAAGUUGGAUUAUAUUAUUUGCAACUAUUGCACUAGAAAUUACGACUUCAUAAAUGGUAAAUAUAUACUUACAUAAUUCUUGAUACUCUAAAAUUUGUUUCAGAAACAGGUAAGGAACAUAAUUUAUUAAUGAGGUGGUGUUUUGAAAGAAGAAAAGCAUAGUUGGCAUAUGUUGGAGUGAAGCAAGCAACAUGGUUAGCAUGAACCGACCAAACACCUAAAAUUUAUAUAAGAAAUAUGGAGGAAGGACGGCGGUGGAGGUGGAGGUGGUAUGUUGAUGUCUGCGCUGCGGAGCCAGAUUCUUGGCGUAAGGAAUUAUUGUAGGAUUGUGAGAGUCACGUAAGAGCAAACGCCACCCUCACCACUCUAUAUAUAUAUAUUAUAUAUAUAUAUAUAGCCUACCUAAAGUAAAGCAUCAAAACUCAAAACCAUAAUUUUUAUUUGGUGUGAAUUAAAAAUUAAAUGGAAUUUCUUCCCUUUAAAUUUGUUCUUUGCUUUUCCCCUGCUAUCUUUUCUUGUUUUCUUCGACCCUUUUUCUUGUAUGUUAUUUUUUUUUUCUUUAAUUAUGAUUCCUCGAAUGCAUACAAAUUAAGUUUGAAUAUAUAUAUGUAUAUAUAAAUUCAUGAAAAUGAUACUUUUUUUAAAGUUAUAUAUAUAUAGUCAAGCAAACCAGGUUUUUAAACCAAAAAUAAAAAAGCUUUUGAUUUUUCAAAAAUAAAUUUGUGUAUGAAAUUAUAAAUUUGCUCUGAUUUAUAUUAACCAUAAUUUUUAAAUAUGAUUUAUAUAUUUAAAUUAAAUUUUAUAAAUAAUUUAUAUUAAUUACUUAAAGAAUAUUUAAAAUUUAUAUUUCAUAUAUCAUAAGAAUAAGAAUAAAUUAUUGUUUUAUUAUUUUUGUACUAUGAUUUAAGUUGAAUAUAAUAAUAACAACAUGACAUUAUGGAAAUAAUAAUUAAAACAUGUGAAAAUAAAGAUAUUUUAUAUUUGACUCAAUUAAUUUUUAUUAUAUUUUAUGUAUCAUAAUAUUAAUAAAUUUUUCGAAUUCUAAAAUCGUUGGAAAUAACCCAAAUAGGUUACUCAGACAAAUAGGGAUGAUUUAUGAGAAUGAUUAAAAGAGAGUAUAAGAUACAGCCUAGUGUUUUUAUUAGUAUUUGUUAGCACUCUAUUAUUGAUCUAAUAAAUCAUGCAGAGGCAUUAAUAUUGGAGUGAAUAAUUGAUGAUAGCGGUGCUGCACUAAUAAGGAAGCUCCUUCGUUUAAGGGAAAAUUCAUGGAAUGUGAAUCUAAGACACUCCAAAGCUCCUAUAACAGAGAGAUUUUAAUUUAUUGUCCCCUCUCUGCUUAGUCUGUGUUUAAGGUCAUUAGUUGACAAUUUUAAUUUGUAAUUACCUUAUUUUUUGUAGGUAUAAUUUGGUUGCAAUUGGAAACUAGAUAAUUCUAAAGGUUUUUAAUGGAUGAAGAUUGAUAUUGUUUAAAAGGUAGUGUACAAAAGUUUAUAAAUUUUAAUAUUGUCAGUUUUGAAUGACCAACAUCCUCUGUUGAAGAACACGAUUUGGAGAGAGUACAAAUUAAUUUAUUAGGGAACAGUCAAUGAGUAUAGUUUUGAUUAAAUUAAUUUACUAGGUAACAUUCAAUGAGUGUAUUUUGUUAAACCUUUUGAGAGUUGUAGAGAUCAAAAGUUGUUUGAAGAGAGUUCACUUAAAUUGUAUGGAUUAUGAUAAUAAUACAGUUGAUUGGAUUGUAAUUAAUGAUUGUAUCAUUAAUUUGUUAAUGAAUUAAUUCUUUAAGUACGUUCGUGUAAAUGUAGGUUUGACCAUCAAUCUAUAUAAAUAUAUUUGUGUCUUCUCUAUUUUAUAUUGUUUUCUAUCAGUGUUAAAUGAAAUGUUCCAAAUUUCUUAAAUUUUUUAAGAGAUUUAAACUUUCAAAUAAAAUAAAUCUUAAAUAAAUACGCAGCAUCUGUGUUCAAAAAGCAUGCAAAACCAAAUGUUGGGGAUUAAGUAUAUCAACCCACAAAGUUAAGUAUGGAUGAAGGUAGAUAAUCUCAUUAUAUAGAGGAGAAUUGACAUGUUAUCGUAUAUAUAGAAUGCAGCCAAGGGAUUUUUUUACUGGGAUAAAUAUUAAAAUUAUAUAUAAAUUUUGAUUCAAUAUGUAAAUUUUAAUUUUGUGUAAUUUUGAAUAUAAAAUUUUGAUUUGAUUCAAUUUUUAUAAAUUACUAAUAAUAGUAUCCAAUUAACACUAUUUAUGUUGAAACAUUGCAUAAAUAAGCAAUUAUAUUAAUCAAAUAUGAAAAUAAAUGUAUGAAUUCAUUUCUUUAAAAGGGUACAAUUGAAUCAAGAUCAAAGGUUUAUGUAUAAAUAUGGACCAUAAUUCAAGUUGCACGUUUAUAAUUGCAUCAUGUCAAAGUUCAUGUGUUAAAUUGCAUAUUAAACCAAAAUUUAUGUAUAAAUUUAAUAUUUGUACAAAGAGGAUUUUGAGGUUCAAAUCCAAAACUUGUUAGCAAAGCUAGAAACUUUUUUAUGGGAAGAAUUGAAUUAUAAAAAUUUAGAGGACAAAAUCCAAUUAUACCAUAGUCUUAACUUACAAUCUUAUUCUUUCAAAAGGCUAAACUAUAAUUUCACCCUUUUUGGGGGAGGCGAAAGCUCUUGUGUAUCGCUUGACACUAUCCAUGAGUGAGUAAGCACCAAUUUAUACUUGGUGCAUGUUGUGUCGAUGGAUAAAAGAGUAGGGGCUCAAAUAUUUUGUUCCUGAAAUAAAAACAGGAAAAGAAAGAUUGGUUUCUAAGUCGCAGCCAAAAAAAUUAUAUGUGUACAGGUGGGAAACUUGGAUCCCACAUAAAAAUUAUGUGAUUUAUAUGACAAUUGACACACCAACAUCAUCAGCAUACUUGUAGCUUAAUGUUUGAAAACCAUGAAAAAGGUCCUCUUAGGGUGAGUUUAGAUAAGUGGUGCGUUUAUCUGUGGUUAGUAUAAAAACAACGAUAGAGAUAAAAUUAGAUACUGUAGCGAUACUGUAACGUGAGAUAAAAAAUAGACUAAACGCACUACAGCGCACCCAAUCGCCCAUCCAAACUCAAAAGACUUGUUGUAAGCCAAUGAUUGGUCUAAUAAGUUAGAAAUAUAUAGUCGCGGUAAUGGGGGUAGUGGUGACAGUGUGAUGCAUUUGCAGCUACAAACACACCACGAAACACCAACUCUCUCUUUCUUCCCCCAAAGAUAAGGCCCACCUUUUUAUGUUAAGAUAUUAUUAGGAUGAGACGUAAAAACAGUCCCCAGCUGUUCAAUGUUCUAAUUAUGUGUAAAUAAAUUUACCACCCUAGGCCUUGAAAAUCUUCUUCUUCUUCUUCUUUUUUUAGUAGAAUAUGGAAAAUUAAACAAUACCAUUAAUUAGAAAAAUAUAUAUGAUUUUUUUAUUAAAGUGUAAUAAUUCAAUUUUUGAAUAAAUAAAUUUAAUGUUAAAGUUAAAAAAUUAUAAUAAAUGACGUAAAAUAUAAGAUGUAUUAAGGCACAUCACAAAAAAAGAAAUUAAUAAAACAUUUGAUAAUACCAAAAAUAAAAUAUACGCAACAAAACUAUAAUAUGUAUUAAAAUUUAUAUAAAAUCAUUUUUAAUUAAGUAACUAUAACCAACUAUACAAAAUGUAAAAAUUAACAUGAAUAUGACACAUAUAUAAUUUAGAAAUUAUAGGAUAUUGAUGCUUUGAUUCUAAAAACAAAUAUAUUGAUACUUUGAAAUUUAGAAAUCAAAUUGUUAAUAUAUAAAAAUAUUAUAAUAAUUUGAACACAAAAAAAUAAUGUGAUCAUAUAUAUAUAUGGAUUAGAUUUUAAGUUAGGUUUCUAAACUUGGAAGUAUCAAUAUGGUGUCAAAUAUGUCAUUCUCUUAAUCUGUCUAUUUGCUUGAGUAUUAAAUGUUAGUUCAAAUUUGAUGUGAAAAAUAUUUAAAAAUGUGAAUCAAAUUGUAAAUAUGUGUAUAACUACGUAUGAAUGACUUGAAUUUGAUGUUUUUAAAAUUUUUUUAAAAAAAAUGGCCCUCCUAAAUUUUAUUGAUAUUGGUUGUUUUUCAUCUCCAACAUAUUUAUGUGAUAUAUACACACAUAUUUACAAGUUGUUCCACAAAUUUUAAAUAUGCUCUAUGUCAAAUUCAAACUGGCAUUCAACGUCUAACAUAAUAGCAUGAUUGAAAUAAUGAUGAUGCUUUAAGGAUUCAAUCCCAACAACCUCUUAGUCUAGUGACAAGAAUAUUAUGUUAUAGGCAUGAAAGCUUGGGAUUAAUCUCAUUCCCCACUCGCGAUUAUUAAAAAAUGUAUAUAUAUUUAAAUAUAUCGUUUCUAGUAUAAAAAAUUAUUAAGCUCAAACCUAAUCCAUCCCUAGAGAAAAACCAUAAAAUGUUAUGAAAUUUUGUUCGAACUCGCUCAACAUUGCCUUAUCACUCAACAUUAUAUGGAGAUGUUUUCAUCAUUUUAAAUCAUAUAAAUUCAAGAAAAACACAUUUGAUGAGAUUCAAACUGAAUACACCAUAUUUUCAAUAUUUUUACUAUUUGAAUUGGCAAAUCAGUUUUUAUAAAUAUAUCAUAUAAAAAUUUUCACUCUUCUAACGUAAACUAAAGAAUGCGAUGGUGGUGUAAGCUGCUACCUCAGUCCAAAUAUUUGAUGGGGUUAACCCAUUACGGGAGAUAUGGGCUUUUUCUCCAAAGACUGAAUUAGUUUUGGACAAACUAUGUCCCUCCUAAGCCUUAUAGCAGUCGUCUUUGACUGUUUUAGGCCCCGGCUUGAUUUGGUCGAAAGAGGUGGAAUUAGUUGUGAAUUCCAUCGCUUCGAUUCAUGAAAUUACGAGUUAGUCCUUCUGCUUUUAAUUUAUUAAAAUUGAGUCCUUAUAUUUUACAAAAUUUGACAAGUUAAUUCAGUUGUUAGUAAACACGAAUUGUUAAUUUAUUUUUCUGAUUUGUUGCAUAUAAGUAGUUGAACUACUGCUUUUUACUAAUUUCAUGCAUAUAAAUUGUUGAACUAAUGAUUUAACAGAAGAUUUAAUAGUGUUACCCAAUGAAAUUAACUUGUUAGUUUUAAUAAAGUACAAAUUAGACAAAUAAUUUUUUUUUUUGUGAAAUAAAGGGAUAAAUUUACAAUUGGACCUAAAAAUGUACAUGCUACAGUGGUAACUAGGCGAAAUUCUAGGUAUUAUUUGGACAAAGACCCAUCUCUCACUUGUUCUUCCUUGAUAGGUAAGUUUGAUUAAUGGAAAACUUUUGACUUUAUAAUUUGAAAUAACAUCAAUUUAGAUUGGUACAUGAUUUCUGAUAGCAUUAAAUAAACCUUGUCUAUAACCAGGCCAGCAUAAGAUAGGAGGACAUAGGAGCCUUCCUAAUCCUAAUCAUGGAAAAUGCCCCUUUAUUCCAAAAGGCCCCCCCUUGGGUGGCUAUCUUAGCCGCCUAUCUUAGUGAUAAUGUAUUAAACGGAGAUUGACUGAUGAGGCGGUUCUAUGGAUGAAGCCAACAAUAUUGGCCGACCAAUAAAUACUUGAACACAUUCACCACAUUAAUUAUAUGUUGAAAAUAGAGGGUGGCAGCAUCUUAGUCACCAUAGCCAUAGGCCUCUCACACAAACCCCUUUAGGACGGUGGCCAACCUUUUACCUCCACUCACUUCAUAUUUGUUCAAACUGAUCAUGCAAUGUCAUACACAUUACUCUCUGGGUAUCUAAAACUAUGGUUUUUCACCUUUCCAAGCAGCUUUACUUAUUUAUUGACUGGUUCCAAAUAUUUCAUGUUAACCUCAAUCGGCAAACCUGCCAGAAACAUAAAGAGUAACAAAUCAACAAGCCAUAAGAAAAAUGUGAUCUUUUUUGUAUAGCAGAGACGAUGCCUUUGAGCAGAUAAAGAGAAGUAAGAGUUUUCUGAGUUUCAGAUUGAAGCUGAACCAGUAAAGCACACUUUUCGAGUUUAUGUUGUCAUCUUGAAAAUGCAUAAUAUCCAGAAUAUUACUUCGAAUGGCAUUAAUGCUUAGACCAAACUUUGGAAUUAGACUUUGUUAAACCCUUCUAAUAUAUGAACUUGUAAUGGUCAAAGUAAGAAUUUAAUGCAAUGGGUUGCAUUUAAAAAUAGAUAUAUCUAGAGAGAGUGGCAGCUGAAUGAAGAUAAAGGACGAUCCAACCAAGGUUGCAAACAGUACACAAGUGUUCCGUGCAAAAGUUAAAUGCAACAGGCAACGUUCUAGAAAUGUCUUCCACCCUCAACUAGAUGACUACUACUUAUGAAGUAAAUAAGCUAAACUUUGCAACUACUCCAUAAUUCCCUAUGAUCCUACGUAAGCUACUUGUUAAGAAUUGUGAGAAUAAAUUAGAAACUUGAGAAAAAAGCAACUAAAAACACAUCAUUUGCAUUCAUGAAGUCAUACCAUAUUUUCUAUUAAAUUAAUGAAACCAACUAAACUGAAAAUUCCAGGGAAAAAAAAAUCAUAUUUUCCCAAAAGAGUGAAAUACCUUGAGACCAAGUAAUCUAAUAGGUGUAAUCAGGGCUGGCGCAAUGCGUUCGGGUCCUGCCGCUUCCACAAUGGCCUCUAUGGAUUUUAGGAAUUGUUUUUCCAGCUGAGGUUCUCCAUGGACCUUUCUUCAACAUGCCUUCCUCUGUUAACAAAACUUUGGGUUUUGGGUUAUAAUCAUGAAGACAAGAUCUAGCAAACCAAAUGACUGUUUUGAAAAUAGAGAAGCUACGGAAAAUGUGAACAGCUUUUUCUCCACCUUUUUAAGCUGACGCUUUUCGAAGCUGUUUUUCUUUGGUGGAUAUGAUUAUAUUUUUGUUUUUCCUUUUAUUUUAGAUCUCCCACUAUUCCUUUCACUAGACCUGUUUUUUUUUCUUUGUUUUUCCCUUCGGAAAGACUUAUUAUUUCUUUCUCAAAUAUAAUAAGGAAAAAAAAAUGUCAAUGGCAUUUUGAAUAGUUUUUGCAAUACUGUUUCGUUUUUUUACAAAAUUGCAAAUGCAUGUAAUUGCACGAAAUACAAAAUAUAGUAAAAAUAAAAUACCUAUACACAACUUGUCAACUUUAGAUAUACCGGUAUUCUAGUUUUAGUAAUUACAAUGCCCAAUUCGAACAAAAAGAAAAACAAUAUCCAAUAUGAAACUAGUAUAUAUCAAUUAAGUGGGGGAAAUAUAAAAAUAAAAUAAAAACAGAUGGACAAUCUAUAAGAAGACAUAACAGAGAGUGUGGAACAUGUGAAAUUUUCAGUUCCAUAAUUGGUUUCUUAUUGGACGCCUUGAUGACAGCUACCUCAACGUUAUUAUUUUCAGAAAAUGAAGAAAACCUAUAUAACCUGAAUAUCUGAUGCACAAAAAAAAUCAAGUACGACAUCUCAGCUUCUACCCAACCUGUCUCCCAAAUGCUUAACUGUGUACAAAUUAUUGCACUCUUCAUCUUCCAAGAAGCAUCCAUAACCACAUAUUUUUAUGUCUGGAUAAAGAUAUGAUCCUCCAAACACUUUAAAAAUAUGUAAAAGGAUCUUUAAAAAUAAACAUAUCAAAAUCAAACACACAUCCAUACAUAACACAUCUAAAUCCGAGUAGCAUAAGUUACAAACUUGCACACUUGCAACGGGAAUGUCUGUCUGUCCAAUUUUAGCAACAUUAAUGAAUAAACCAACCAAACCAAGGCAUGUUGAGAUAUCCAGCCACAUGAGUUUCAAUAAUUUGAUCCUAAUUUUAUCUCAAAGAAUGAAAUUUCAUGUAAUACUAUGAAUACAAACUAAAAGUCUGAUACUUCUUUUGUAGGAAGAACAAAGAGUGACAAGGAAAAAAAAUACAAGUCGUUCCUCACAGAUGGUUCUUAAUCUUCAGCAUGAACUAACAAACUCCAUGAAUUUUAAAUGUCUUCAUUGAUCAGAUUGACAACAAAAAUAAAAUAGAAAUGAAGUUAGGGGGCAAAAGAAAAAGAAUACCACCAAAAUGGAGAAGGGAACUGCAGCAGAGCCACUAUCCCAAAACGAAUUACUUCAUUAAUCAGUUACACUGUUAACAUAUUGUCUCCUCUCUCCGCUGCCACAUCUGCCAGUUUUUUCCAUGUCAUUUCUCUUUGCUCUUCCACCUCUUGAGCUCUGGCUUCUUUCUCUGCAAACUCUCUCUGACACUCAUCAAACAAAUCAGCAUCCAUUUCCAUGAACAUCUUCCGCACAUUCAUGGUCAACCCAUGAACUGCCUGAUUCCAAUGACCAUGGAUAUUCCUCUCCAAUGCCUCAAAUAUGAUUGGUAAUAUCACCUGCCGAUUCAGGGCAAUUAAGUUCACAAUGUGUUCAUUAUUCCACAAGAAGAGGGCUCUUUCUGCAACCUGCAAUACAAUAGGGUCUUAGCAAGAAUCCUGGAGAAACUUCUAUCUUACUACUAAGAUCAAAAGCAAGUUAUAAAGAAACCAAAAACAAUUGUAAGAACCGUCUCCCUCCACCAUUUCUAAACUGUAAGCAGUGCAGUAGAAAGCUUACUAAUAAAGUAAACACCUAACGACUUAGCUCAACAAGACCAGUUUAGAACCAUCCAAGGAUACAGAUACAGUACAUUGUAUCUUAUCCUCCUUUAAAAAAGCUGGUCCAUCAUGGGUGAAAUUUAGCUCAACCAGCCCAGUUAAGAACCAUCCAACCAUAUGGAACUUAAGGUAAAAUGCCAUCUACAAGACUGAACACUAUGUUUGGUAGGAAGGAAGACGGAGAGACGGAAGGGAAAUAGACGAGGAAAGAAAAAAAUGGAGAUGAAGGAAAGUUAUCUUUUCUAUCAAUCUUCAGAAUCAAGGACAGAAAAUAAAAGGAAAGAAAGAGGCAAGGGGCAAAAUUUCAAAUAACAUUGUUGAUUUAAAUGUGUAUUUUCCUCCCACAUUUGGAAGGAUGGGAUUUGGAGAGAAAGAGAGGUAUAUGUCUACCCAUUUCCCUUCUCUUUCUUUACCCUCCUACAAAACAAAGAAAAGGAUGGAAGAAGGUAUCUUUUCCUUCCUUUUCCCCUCCAAGCAAAACAAUGUAAAGGAAAAUUGAACAAGUAAAAAGAUAUGGGACAACAAAUCAAUAAAGGAGCACAAGACUGAAGAUUUAUAAUAGACGGAGUCAUGAUGAAAUGCAAAGCAAUCUAUGGAACUAAGCAAUUACUAUGCUAUCUGGAAACCAACAUAUAUACUUAAAAUGAAAAUUUGUUGAGAAGAAAUUGAAUUCCAAUUUUAGUGAAAUUAUAUCAUUAUGAGCAGCUAUCCAAGAAAUCUAAAGAAUGCACCUAAAAUGAAAACAGAAAGAACUUCCUAAGCAACCACAAGUUGAAGUUUGGAUCAUUGGAUAUCCAUUCAUACGCUCUAAAAUAGCAAUACAAACAAAGAGGACAACUAUAGAAAAUCAAUGAUGCAAGACAUUACACAAAGCAGCAAUUGAUGCUUGCCUGAAUCUCAGCCAUACCCAGGACAGAGUAGCUCACUCCAACAAGCACAGAUAAACUACACCAUGGGAGAAAGCUGAGACUAGUAGGUUAGUGAAUAGGGCAAUGAGCUACUAUACAUACCUUUUUGCGACUUUUCUGCUUGAUGCAGAAAGAUUGAAGGUGGCGUUUGGUAUGAUGGAAAGUAGCCACUUUCCUAGGAAUUUAAUAAGUUAGAAAGUGAUUCCAAAGUUUGGUAUGUCAAAUUUUAUUUACUUUCCUUGGAAUCUAACUUUCCCUUGGGAGUUACUUUCCCAUGAACAUGGUAAUGUGAUUCCCAUGAUAAAAGGUGGGAAGUUACUUUCCCAUGUAGAUUGAAAGUUUUAAAAAAUAUCAAGAAAAUUUAACCUUAUUUUAUAUUAGUUUAGGAUAGCAGUCUAUUAAUAAAUGUAAAAAAUAAAUGUAAAAAAUAAAAAAGCUAGUGCCUCCUUCCUCCUUUCUACUACUUGAUUUUCUCUACUACUUUGACGUAGUCUUCGUAAGUAAGUUUUUUUUUCCCUGAUUUUAUUUUUUAUAUGAAUAUUUAAUCAUCUACAUAUUAUAUCAUUUACUUAUUAUAUUUAUAUUCUAUUGUUUGUUCUCUUUCUUUUCGGUAUAGUAAUUGAAAAUUCAAUUUUAUUAUAGUAUUAUGAAUUUUUACGAGCAAAAGAAAAAAAAAUUAAAGUUUAUGCUCAACUCUAAGACUGAUUUCAUCAUAACCUUUUUCCAUGAUUUACCUUUGAAUUAUGGUUUGUUGUAUGUGAUUGAGAAUUCUACUGGAAUGAUUUUCAAGAAUGAGUAAAUGAUUGACAGCCCAUUUAGAAGUAAAAUAGAUAAGUCAAACGAUCAAUCAAAUUUCAAAGCAGUUAUGUAUUAUAUUCGAGUAAAUUAUGUUUUUUUUUCAAUAUUCAAAGUAAAUUAGGUUACAUUGGGGUUGUGAAAAAAUAAUAUAAAAAUUAUCAAUUAAAUUUUAAUAUUAAAUAUUUAAUCCGAAUAUUUGUUAAGAAUAAAUUUUAUGAUAAAAUUAAAUACAUGAAUAUUAUAUUUUAUUUAAUAAGGGUAAAUCAUAAAAUUAUCAUUACAUUCCUAGGAAAGUACUUAGUAAACCAAACCUAGUCAUGUAACUUUCCUGGGAUUUUAAUCAAUAGCUUCCCAUGUAUACCAAACAUUGUAAAGUAACUUUCUUAGCAAUCACAUUCCAUUAGAAUGAUAACAUGGGAAAGCACCAAAUGCUACCAAAGUGAAACAAACACAAAUAUAAUGCUAAAAACAAGAAAACACUUGGCACAACUUCCCAAAAACAAAUCAGAAAUGAGAAAAGAGGUGUAUCCCACAAAUUGCAGCAGUUUCCUAAAGAGCCAAAUGUUAUUCUUCAUGAAUCAGUAUCAGUUCAACAGUCAGAAUCACAAGAAAUUAUGAAGUACCAUAAAUUUAUAAAUGAUAAACAUCAUAAGCUAACAACAACUGGCAGCAUUGCAUCAAAAUUAAUUAUUAUCAUAUGGUUUAAUUUCACAUCCUAGUAACAAUUCAACAUUGGUGAUUUACUACUCAAGCAAUUAAAAUUAGCAGAGUCAUAGUGACAUAUUCAAAAGACAAAAGCCCUUGAAAGUUAUCUGAAAAGUAAUCAUAUGAUUUAUUCUAAGUUCUUAACAUCCUAGCAACAGUUCAACAUUCCACAAUUCACAAUUCACAAUUAACAAUACUAUUGUUUCCCAGAGGUGAUUGACUACUCAUGCUACUGGAAUUUGCAUGCUCUCAGUCAAAUAUUCAAAAGAAAGAAGGCCUUAAAAGUUACCUGGAAAUGAAAGCUAUUGAGGCAACGUGCAAUCUGUCUGAAAAGCGGAACCAUACAUCGUUGGAACUCUGCAAACUGUGUUGCUUCAAGUACUUCCUCAAGUUCCCCGAGGAAGAGAACUUCCUUCUGACAAUUAGUCAAAGGCCAAUACUUCAACAACCCUCUAAUAACCGUAUCAGCUAGCUUAUAAUCCUUCUCAACAAACUGUAUAAUACAAUAAGACAACUGCUGAUGAUACAUGGCAAUAGGUUUCGGCUUAUGCAAAGGAAUCAACGCUCUCACAAGGAACAACUUAUGUUCCUCUUUCAUAGGCAAUGCGAACCCAUUAAUGAUGCUCCCUAGAAUCUCCAGAAGCUCCCCGGUCCCACUAUGCCUCUCUGUUUCAUAUAUAAACCUAUAGAAGAUAUUAUUUAUCGCCUUCCUAAUGAAUGGUCGAUGCACCAUGAAUUUACCAUAAAUCCUAUGAAGAAUCGUUUUCAAAAACUCCCUUUCCCUGGGAUCCUCCGAAUCAAACAAAUCAAGCAACUUCAAAAUGAAGGAAUGAUCAAUAUAUUUCUUUGCAACUUUAGUAUCUGUAUCCGAGGACACAACAUAUCUCAAGAGAAGCUCGUAUACUAUCUGUAAAUGUGGCCACGUGGGAUCCAAAUAGGGUUCCUCUUCUUCAGGAUCCGAGGCACCUUGCCCUGUAUUUUCGUGAGACGCCGGAGGUAGGGACCGAAAAAUGUUGAUUCCGACCAUUUUAAUCAUCUCUUCCUGGCAAAUCUCCGUGAUUUUGCCAGACCCGGACUGAAUAUAAUCAACGAGUUCCAGCAACGUUUGCCGCUUGAUUUCUUUUUCUCGGGCCGAUUUCAAGACAUCGGUGAAAUCAAAUAGGAAGCAACAAAUCUGUAAUUUUCGCAUGAAUAGGUUUUGUCUCUCCGAAACGGGGGUGUCUCGUAAUAACGGCAAGGGUUCGACGGCGCACAUCGGUGGUGGGACCAUAGGGCUGCUGGAAUUUGUGCUUGGUGGUGCCCCCUGCCCGGGCCGGGAAGCGUGGUUGACGACCAAAUUAGGGUUUAGAUCCGACCCGGUAUUGCCGGAACGUGGUGGACGGGAACUAGCAUCCGUUGAGUCCGAUUUAGAAUGCUUCCGGCUUCCUUUGAUAAUUUUCUUGAACAUUCUGACCCCAAAAAUUAAAAAAAAAAUUAAAACCUAACAAGGAUUAGGUUGACUACUCGAGCUAGGGAUUAGGAACUCGACAGCUGUGAUUUUGAGGUUUCAAUGGAUCGGAAUGCAUGGAAUAAUUGCCCCUACGAAACAAAUUCAAAAAAUAUAAAUGGAUAUGGAAUGAGGUACAAAAUUUAGAUUAGAGAAGGGGAACGGGGAUUUCUAAAAUGAUUUUUUUGAAAUUUUUUUCCGGAAAUGAUUGGAUUCUUGUCACCAUUAAUUGAUCGAAAAUUCGGAAUCAACCGUCAGAAAAAGCAGAUAGCCGGAAUGUUGGCAGCUGCUCUAACGGCGGUGGAUUUCCGGCGAUCAACUGGACGGACCAAUCUAAUGGGAAAAAGAUAAAAAUAGAGAGAGAGAGAGAGAGAGAGAGAGAAUAGAGUGACGAGGAAACUUUUUGAAUGAAAGGAAUGAUUGCAAUAAACGCCUUUAUAAACAGUAUCUUUAUAUAAAUUUAAUUAAAUUUGUAGAUUAUUUUCAAAAAAAAAAUGUAGUUUUUUAAAAAAAAAUUGAACAUUCUUUUGACGUCGUUUUUUAUGUACGUGGAGGAAUCCCCAAAAUCUGGACCCCACGACGGACAAUCUACGUGGAAAAUUAAAAUUUCUACUUUUUUACUACAAAUAAUAAAAAUUCUUCUGUUUCUAUUUUGGGUAAUCCGAAAUUUAAGCAUCUGCAAGAAUUUUGGAUCCUAUUAAAUAAUUUCUUUUCUUCUCUAAUAAAAUUUAUGAAUAAAAAGACAAAUUAAAAAAUAAAAUGGUAAUCUUUUAAUUAGGUUUGGUUAAUUUGGGAAAUUAGGCGAAGUUGAGGUUAUCCUUGUAAUCACGAAUCAAGCAAUUAUUGUGAAUAAUUUGAGAUUAUUGAAGAAAAAGAGAGAGGUUGAUGGGGUCAACCCUGUCUCCUUGACCAGAUUGAAUUGGUUAAGUAAACUGGGUCAUUUGACAACUUAGUCAAACUUUCAAAGUUGGACUAGUCUCACUUUGGUUACACGAAAUUAAUAUUAUAUUUAUGUCACUUCAUUUAAAUUUAUAUUCAAAGUGUUUAUCCCCUUCAUUGGCUUAAUAUGUGAAUCCGAUCCGUCUCUAAGUUUUAUAUAUAAAGAAUUUGGACAACAUUCAUAAUAACAAUUUCAAUCUUCAUUUUUUAAUUUUUUUUUCAAAUUAACCCCAAUUAUAUAUAAAAAUAUAAAAAAAAACUCAUAAUUAUUUUUAACAAAUUAGAAAUUUCUAUAUAAAAUUUCAGGUUAUUGCAACAACAAAUCUUUAGCACUAGUCAUAAAAUCAUGAAAAUGAAUAAAAACAGAUCAAUUUCAAUCUCUUAACAUAAUAUUUUGUAAAGUUUAAAUAUGAUUAAAAACAAAUGUUCGUAAAAAAAAUUCUACAUUUUAUUGCAAUAAAGUUUAAAAUUGUCCAAUAUUGAGAUAUAAGAACAAAAAAUAUUAUUCAAUAGACUCCGAUAAUAAAUUAAAUAGAACAAAAUAAAAUUAAUAAUAUUUUCAAGUUGAGUUUCAUGACUUUUAGUAUGGAUAUUACAAAGAUUUAUGAAAUUUACUAUGAUAAAAUUUUUUUAGAGAAAAAAAACACAAACUUUUCUUCAAAAUUUUAUUUUUCAAACUUACACCCAAAAUUCAAUUCAUUUAAAUUAUUUUUCAAAACUCAAAUCGUAACAAUAAAUUAUAUAAAAAAUUAUAUUCUGAAUCUUUUUUUUUCCUUUUCUUUUCUUACAAUGAAAAAUAAUUUUACUUCAUUUUCUCCAACAUUACCUAUUUUUGAAUUUUUUAUCUAUUUUAUUUAAAAUUUUAGUCUUUAAUGUUCUUUUUAGAAUUUUUAUAUGGAAUUUUCUACAUUUUUAAAAAGAAUUCCAAUCUUUAAUUAUUUUCAAUAGAAUUAAGGUUAGAUUAAUAGAAAGUAUAAAAAUUAAGGACUAAAAUUAUUAUUAUACCAGUUAAAAAGUGCCACCAUCGUAAACUUAACUCGUUGAGUGACAAAAAAUUUUAAAAUAUUAAUGACCGUAUUAUAAUAUUUUUUUAAUUAAAUAACCAAAAUAAAGAUUUAACCAUAAUUAUAUAACUAUGUAGCUAUUUAUGUAGUUUAUAAAAAAAAACUCUUCACAAACUUUCAUUAGGCUGACAUUGCUAUGUUAAGAAAUUUUCAAAUAUAUAUAAAUGCAAAAUAUCUAAAAUAUAAAAAAUUAUAAAAAUAUUUUUAAAUUAAGAAAAUGUUUAACUUUUUGAAAUUUGAAUGGUGAAAAAAAAUGUAAAAGAUUUUUCUAAAUUAAUUAAAGUAUAAGAAAAUUCUAAAAAGUUAAAAAAUUCCAAAAACUUUAAAAGAUUAUUUAUUAUAAAUCUCAAAAACUCUUAAAUAUAAACCAUUUGAAAUGAUAGUAUUUUUAUUUUACUUGAAUAUUAUUGCAAAUUGAUAAGUUAAAAAAUUUAUAAAAGAAGAAUAAUGAUAUUAAAAACAAAUAAUAUAAAAAAUAUGAAAUAUGGAUAUCAUUAAAUUUAUAAUAAUAUAUAAAAUUCGACUGAUCUAUUAAUAGGGAAAAUUUAAAAAAAUACAAAUUCUUAAAAAAAACAUUGUGCCUCCUAAUCCUACCAAUUGUCACUAAGCCAGUGCUUCCUGUGGGCGGUGCCUCCAUGCUGCAAUUUCCUAAAGCUUGAAAACAAGCGCCUAAGCUCUGUAGAAGAAACAAACAGUCAUUUUCUUAAGGGAACUAAAAAAAUGAAACCCUAAAUUCUUAAGUUUCCCUUACCCUUCUUCUUUGCUAUUCCUCAGACAGUGUGCGUGAGUCAUUUUCUUCCCCCAGUUCCUCGGAGAUCCUGUAACAAAUCCUUUUUCUUCUCCGAACUCAACCUAUCAAAACAUCAUCUCCGCCUCCUCUAACUUCUUCCCAUUUGGUCCUUUAGAACAAUGGGUUCAACCUCCGGCGAAGUUUCUUCCAUCCAAAAGGUCGGGGAGUCACAUCCUCUCCCCCAUGCAGCCACCGAAAAAUUUAUGUUUUUCUAUAGCCAACUACAUGUAUGAAAUUGAAUAAGACUACAAGAAAUUUUUUUAAAAAUCACCUCUUCAAGUGAAAUUGGAAUAGGAAAUUUGUGUUAUUCAAAGUUUCUUUUAAAAUUUAUUAAAAUUUUUAUAUUGAGCAUUUACUUGAUUGGUAUGAGAAUUGUUGCCAUACUUGAUUGGUAUGAGAAUUGUUGCCAACGUAGGAGAACAUGGGUUCAAGUGUGUUAAAGCAUAUUAUCCUCCUAUUUAUGAAAAUUCUAAAAUCUAAACAAAUAUAAUAAUGGUAAGGCACACUGUACUCACAAGGGGAGAACUCAAGUUCAAACAUUGGAGGCGAUACCCUGAACAUGAACGGUAAAACAGACAUGAAAAAUUUACAAUUUUAUAAAAAAUAAUUCUUAAAUUAAAAGAAUGCAAAGUUUCAUAAAAUUCUAAAAAAAGAAAAUUCCAAAAAGAAAUUGAAAAUCUAGAAUUAUAACAAUUAAAAAUUCCAUAAACUUCUUAAAUAUUUUUUUAAAACUUAAUUUUUAAAAAAAUUAUGAACUUUAAUGAAAAAGCUUCUGAUUUGCACUUGAAAAAUAGUUUCAUUCUAACUAUUGUACAUUAUAUUUGCUAACGCAUUCAGAUUCCCUAAUCUUACAUGUGUGAAGUCUUGUUGAGUAGAUAAUUUUAUUCAACAAUCAUUUGAAUCACCUAUUGGCUUAAGUUCAAUCUAUUAUUACAUAAAGAAGUAAUUGUAGCCUAUCACUCAGUGAAUUAUUUUUUUUUAAUGAAUAAGGAGUUGGAUGGUACGUCAAACUCACCAAAAACUUCUUUAGAUGUCAAAUUGAUAAAUUUAUUGUCGUACAAGGCCCAUAUACAUAUUAAACCCUCUCAAUGUACCAGCUUUGAGCAAAAAUUCUAGUUUUAAUUGUAUCCCCACUCUCUGUACUCCUUAGACUUUAGUCCCUCUAUUUUUAAUGUCAAGAAUUUGUUCUAUUUACUUCUCUUAUCUAAAAAUGAAAAUCAAAUGGAUGACUUUAUUAAUAUUUAAAAAGUACAAUUUAUUUGAUAGCAGACUUAACAUAUAAUUGGUAUUCCUAAGUUUGAUACUUUUUUUAAUGUGGUACCUGUGUUAUUUUUUGGUUCAAUCUGGUACUUGUAUAUAAAAAAAUUAUAUAUUUUGGUGCCCAAAAAUAACUGUGUUAACUUUUUAGUAUUUAAUUCCAGAUUUAAGGUUAAUUUGAUGUAAGUUAAUUGCUAAUAUUAUUAUGUUUGAAUUUUUCAUGAUUUUGUUAAUAGAAUACAUUUUUGUGUUAAUUGUGAAUUUGUUUAAUUUGUAAAAUACAAUCAGAUGGAUGUGAAUUAAUUCAAGCUAUAGGGUUAAUUUAAUGAAAGUUAAUUGUUAAUAUUAUUAGCUGAUUAUGUAUUUUCAUUAAAUCAACUCUAAAAUCGAAUUAAACAUUAAAAAGUUAAUAUUGUUACCUUUGGGUACCAAAAUAUAUAACAUUUGUCAAAUACAGGUAUCAAAUUGGACCAACAAAUAACACAAAUAUCACAUUAGGAAAAAAACGUAUACCAAAUUAUGUAUUAAGCCUUGCUAAUAGAUUUGAAAGACGGUAAGAAAUUUUGAUAUUUAAAAAAUAUUGAGAAAAAAGAGAGAAUAAUUUUACCUUUAAAUGGGUUUGAAUCAAUGCCAAUUUAUUAAUUAAAUAUAAACCAUUUUACAAAAUAUUUUUAGAGAAAACAAUGAAAUAAGUUUUCUAAUUUUGCAUAUAAUUUUAUUUUUAACCAAAUAUAUAUUUUUAAUGUUUCCAUUUUUCAAAAAUUUGGUGAAAUAAAAGGAAGGUCUUAACUUUUUUUAUUUUGUUUUUAGUAAUAAGUUUGGAUUAAAAAUGGUUUGGUUGUAGGGGGAUGGGAUAAGGUUUUGAAAAGUCUAUUUUUUGUGUGCAAAGUGAUAGAUGAGGACCAAAAAGAAAUCCUAUUCCAUCUUUAACACCACAAUCGACCUUACCAAAUUAUUGCUACAAAUUACUAUCUUAUUGGUUGCAGAAAAGCACAUACAACUCCACUUCAUCAAAGUUUGAAUCUGGAUGAUAAAAAGAUGGUAAAAGGGCAACAUAAAAGCCCCAAGGGAUUUAGCCCAUUGAACCCAUUUAGCUCAAUGGAUAACUUAAAAACGGACCACCUUUACACUUGUCUUGAGUGGAAACGUGACUGAUUUGAUUGAACAUAAAAAGAAAAGAGGUUGUGGCCGCCAUUAACAAGUAUUCAACAGUUAUCUUACAAAUGAAUAUGAUAGAGGAUGUCAAACCAAGAAUACGAUGUACCUAAAGUUUGGCAUUCCGCAAAAGGAUGCUAGCAUAUGAUGUGCCAAAUUGGGUAGCUCUUUCUCUUCUUUUUCACUGCAGGGUUACGUACUCGGUAAUUUUGAGUAGGUUUGAUAAAUGCAAUGAUAUCAAUUUUUACACAGAUAUGAAUAUAUAUGUAUUAUGAAAUGUAUAAAAGAAAAACACAAUGAAAUCAAUAAUUGAAGAAUUUGUCAUUUGAUGAAUGUCUCCCAUCUGCUUUUAUAUUUCAAGUACAAAAUGGUCACAUACACAUGGUAACGAGGAUGAAGAACGGGAUUUUGGGCCGACAAGUUAAGGUGGAGAAAUGUGAAACGUGGAAUGUGGAACACCUCUGAAGUCAUUUCAAGUCACCCACAUAUGACAAAUAUGGAAGACGUUCUCAUGUCAAAGUCACCCACCGCAUUUUCUUUUUGGGGUCUCUACUAAUCUUACCGGAAUUUUCACUAUUCCAACAGUAAAUGAUUGUAGAUUAACUCGAUGUCUGCAUCUCACAUAUGUCUUAGAUAUAAAUAUCAAAUACGAUAAGACUUAAAGAAAAAAAAAAGUUAGAUAUAUCUUUGUCGCAUGCCUAUGUACGAUUUGGCACUGCUUCUGUGAACCGAUCGUAUAGCAAAAAGACAGAAAGUUGAGGUAGUGGCAAUGGUGGUGGGUGGUGGGUGGUGGGGUUAGGGUUUGAAGAGGGUGGUGGGAUGGUGGGCGUGGGAGGUCCCAAACAAAAUGGUGUCAGCUUCGGAAAGGUCUAUUUUGAAUACACUCCGUGAUUAUGACGACAGAGGAAGGCAGGUUUAGGACCUCUUUGGGGUUUGUUUGGGGUUUGUGGUUAAAUUUACCCUAAUAAUUGCAAAGUGCAUCAAGUCAAUUGUAUCAUUAUUUGACAUUUGUGAUCGGUAUCAAAUACAGCUUAAGUAAGCAUUGUAACAACCUACCACUCCAUCAAGUACCAGAAAAACAAACCUGCACCUAAUUCUGUUAACAGUCCUAGAGUUUUACAUAUUUCAAAUUUUCAACCUCCUCCUUUCGCUUUUCUUAAAAUAAAAUAUAAUCCACAAGGAAAAUCCUUCCCUUUAAGACUAGUCUGUCUACAGUAUUUUUCUUCUCCAUUAAUUUUUAAAACAAUAAGUGAGUAAUUUAUUUAUUCAAAUAAAUACAAAUGUGGAAUUAUAACAAUGUCUAUGAAUUCUAAAAUAAAUUACAUAUUGCCUUUUUCUUAAUUAAUAAAAAUUAAUAUAAUUUUUUAACAUCUAAACAGAUAUUGACUUAAAAUGGGUUUGAUAAAAUGUCGGUAUAUAUCAUUGUACUGAAAGAUUUUUAAUUUUUAAUAUAAAUUUUUAUUUGAUAUGAUUUUUUCAACAAAAUUGUGCUAAAAGAGGAUAUUUGACCUAUAAAAGAGAUGUGUGAGAAUACUUUCGGUGCAUAAUAGCAUGACUAUUAGCGGUUAAGAUAUUUUACUGUUUUGUCCUAAAUUUCUACAAAUUUAACACUAAAAUUGUUUUGUAAAUCAUAGCUUCUUUUGUUUUCUUAUCUGAAUUUUCAUUAGAGGCUGGUACUCUGGUGCAAUCUGAGGAAUUACUGUGGGUACUAUGGAUUGGAAAAAAUUAUUUGGUAGCAGUACAGAUCAGGCUCUCCAAUAUUUCCCUCCUCAAAUCUAUGAAGGAUUGUUGGAGGUGUUUGAUGAUGGAAUUAUGGUAUAGAGUCACUCUUUGGUAGGGUAAUUUCUGGGCAGACCUUCAAAUUCCAACUUUAUACAAUAGCUUAUCAAUAUGCAUUGGGGGAACGUUGGCUCAGUGGAAAUCAAGUUAAUGGGUGAAAAUGUUCAUGCAAUUUUCUAGUACAGAGACAAGGGAUUAGGUGAUCGAGCUCGGGCCAUGGCAUAUAUAAAGAUUAAGCCAAUAAUAGUUCGUGGAUCAAAGCCAAGUUUGAAAUUUUUGAAUUUUGAUUCGAGGAAAUUGCCAUUUGGGGUUCAUUUAUCCCAUGUACCACUUGAAUCCGUCUUAGCUAUACAAUAAAUGUCGGAUAUAAUGUCUUAAGUGUAGUAUAUUCGUAUGUAAACUUAUAAUUUUUUUCAAAUAGAUUGAUUAAUAAAAUAAUUCAUGAAUUACAUUAAUAUUCUUUGUAUGAUGUUUUCAUGUGGUUUUUGCAUGCAAAACAAAAUUGAAGCAAUUAUUGGCUCACUAGUUGUCUAAUAUUUAAACUAAUACUAAGCAGUAUUACAUGGUCGAAUCGUAAUACAAAAAGACAACUUAUAUUAGUAGAUGAAUCUAAACAAGUCUUUAAUCUAAUAAAAAAUGAGCAAACUGAUUGAAAGACUAAUAUGCUGUCUAUCAAGUCAAAUUAGGGAUAUGUCUUAUAUUGGGCAUUGGUGUGGAUGACUCCUAGAAGAUAAAUACAUAAAUGUGGCUGACUGGACUAAUAGUACAUUGGACUGGACCUAAGGAGAAUAGAUCAUGAAUUCGUUUAUGGAUUUAUGUUAAGACUAUAAUAUCCAUAAUUAUAAUGCGAGAAAAUGACUUAUAAUAUCCGUUUAUGGACUGAUAUUAUGAGGUUGAAUUAUAAUGCGAGAAAAUGACUUAUAAUAGUAGAUAAUCUAAAAUAUCCAUAGUCCAUAGGAAUGGGUUGAGAAAAAGAUUCAUGUUGAGACUAUUAUGGCGUUUAUAAGUCUAGUUGAGGAGAUAAGAUGUCUUGGAUAGUGGAGUUAGAUUGACUCUCAUAAAUAGAGACAUAAAUGUGAUUGUCUAGAUUGACAAUACAACGAAUAUGACCCAUGAUGAAUUUAUCCUAGAUCCAUUUAUGGAUUUAUUCACUUGUGACAUUCAUGGUGUGACUUACCUAAAUCUUGAGUAAGUGAAUGAGUAUGUAUGUAUAACUUAUGUGCUUUGAUAUAUUGAAAACGUAUGCUUUCAAGGUAAUGAGCCCAAAGUUGGUAUGUUGGGUACAUGACUUAUGCAUGGCAUUGCUUCACUCACAGCUUGAUAAAAAGAAUAAAUGUUUAUCCUCUUAUUGGCAUUGUAUGAAUUAUGAAAAUGGAAUAUGAUCACAGGCCAUUUUUCUGGGACAAAUGGUUUACAGUUACUAGUAUCGAUAAUGAUCAUUUUCAUUGUGGAAUAUACAAUUGUAACCAUGAGAUAAAAACAUAUCAAAUCAGAUGAACAAAUUUAACUUAAAGGGAUCAUGGUGAUCCUAUAAGGGCAAUACACAUACGACAGUAUCAUUGGACAAAAGUUCAAUUUAAGUAGCUUUCGUAAUAAUAUAUAAUGGAGAGAUCAGUCAUGAUACUUUUAGUGAAUUGACACCAUGACUAAAUAACUUUCUAAUUAAUAGACAAUAGUUGGAAUUUAACCACAGAUUAUUUUAGCUUUAAUUAUGCAUAUUUAACCGGUCCCUUCACUAACUUAUUAUAAUUUUGAGUGGAUUGCCUAAUAAGAACCUAAUAUAAAUGGACAAAAAUGACGAAUAAGAAGUGGAUUGCAUGAAUUACUAUCCGUAGUAAACGUAUUUUCUUGAGGACGCGAAAUAUGACUUAGAAAUAAUUUAAUUUCUUUAGAUUAUUACUUAAUUGAUGAAUAAAUUAAAUAAUUGAAUCUAAAGUGAAAAUUAAAUUGUAUAUCAUAGUUUAAUUUUAUUUGAAUAAUUAAAUAAAUUUACACAUAAAUUUUAAUAUGGUAAAAUUCUCAUGAUUUUAUCGAAAUUAUAAUUAAUUUGUAUAAAUUAUUUAAUUAAGAUUGUCCACAAUCAAUUUUUUGUUAACAUAUAAAAUAAUUUUAUAAUAUAAAUUUAAAAUUUUUUUCCAUCAAACAACAGUUUAUGACUCCGAAUAUUGAUGAAUAUAUAUAUUUAUAUUUGUCAUUUUAUUAAAAAAACAUACUGCUUGUCACGAGAGUGAAACAGAGUAACCGUUGAUGACUCCAAAUAUAAAAUGUCAUCUUCUUUGUGAUGAUUCUUGAAAAGACCCUCAAACAUCAAAAUCUUGGAUGCGUCAUUUUGUCUUGUAUUUGUUGUGUUUCACAGCUGCUCAUCUGUUGCAACACUGAUUCAUGAUCUCAAAAUUAAUAGGACAUCUUGUUAUUCUAAAUGAAUUUCAGGCUCUUUCAAAAAUUAAAAAUAAAAAAAAAAUCUCAGGCUUUGUCUGCCGGUUAUUUAAUCUUAGGCUUUAGUAAGUCUUAUCGGUAUUAAUUUAGUUGGUUUUUU